rnacentral:lncRNA from 1 species
UGGAUCUUUAUGCAAUGCAAUUUAGUGCAAAACCAACGGAGACGUGAACGUGGAUGGAGGGAGAGAGACGGAGAAAGGGAGUGUGCUUAUCGUUUUAGUCGGUUGAACCACCUCGUACCACCGCCGACGCCGACGCCGACGCUCUUCUAUUGUGCAUCUCUCUCUCGUUCCAUGCCGAUCCAGUCAAAUGCUGUUUCAAUUUUAGCUUCAGUAAGUAUUUGUUGUUGCUGUUAUAAUUAUCUGCAUAAAUUGGUGCACACAACACACAAACUUUUUGUUUGAUUUAACCAGUUACAGAUGCGGUUCAAUGCAGUCGAGUUAUGGUAUAUAAAGCAAAUACACAUCCAAAUAUCUGUAUAACUGUGGGGGGUAUACAUAUAUAUUUUAAGAGAUCUCUGUUUUAAUGAGUGAUCUUAAUGACUGCGCAUUGGAAAUCACAGCUCGAUGGAACUGUACAAAGUUCCCCUCCACAAGUGUUAGCACUCUCUGAUUCUAUUGUGAGAGAGAGUGAGAGAGAGAGAGACUCGUGUUAAUCAGCUGAUGUAUCGAGCAUUCCAUUCCUAGUUUAUCUUGCUACCUUAUCGAUGGCACACUUUGUCCAGACUUGAAAGAUCAGCUUGAUCACAAGAUAAUUGCUCUGCUACCAGCGCAGUUCUACCUCAAUAAAGUUACUCAUCAAUUUGCACUUUCUGGUCAUUUUUGCACUGGGAAUUUUACAUCUUUUGCUUAAUGAAAAGUGACAAACUUCAAUAAGUGCUCUCCCCCCACAAAUAAUUAAUGAUCUAACGAUUCUGAGAUGAUCUUCCAAAUUGUUUAUUGUUUUUUAGCUGUGUCAUUG